rnacentral:rRNA from 1 species
UGGGGAAUAUUGCACAAUGGGCGCAAGCCUGAUGCAGCCAUGCCGCGUGUAUGAAGAAGGCCUUCGGGUUGUAAAGUACUUUCAGCGAGGAGGAAGGCAUCAAGGUUAAUAACCUUGGUGAUUGACGUUACUCGCAGAAGAAGCACCGGCUAACUCCGUGCCAGCAGCCGCGGUAAUACGGAGGGUGCAAGCGUUAAUCGGAAUUACUGGGCGUAAAGCGCACGCAGGCGGUCUGUCAAGUCGGAUGUGAAAUCCCCGGGCUCAACCUGGGAACUGCAUUCGA